rnacentral:rRNA from 2 species
GGGUUGUGAGGUUAAGCGACUAAGCGUACACGGUGGAUGCCCUGGCAGUCAGAGGCGAUGAAGGGCGUGCUAA